rnacentral:rRNA from 1 species
GAUGAACGCUGGCGGCGUGCCUAAUACAUGCAAGUCGAGCGAACAGACGAGGAGCUUGCUCCUCUGACGUUAGCGGCGGACGGGUGAGUAACACGUGGAUAACCUACCUAUAAGACUGGGAUAACUUCGGGAAACCGGAGCUAAUACCGGAUAAUAUAUUGAACCGCAUGGUUCAAUAGUGAAAGACGGUUUUGCUGUCACUUAUAGAUGGAUCCGCGCCGCAUUAGCUAGUUGGUAAGGUAACGGCUUACCAAGGCAACGAUGCGUAGCCGACCUGAGAGGGUGAUCGGCCACACUGGAACUGAGACACGGUCCUGACUCCUACGGGAGGCAGCAGUAGGGAAUCUUCCGCAAUGGGCGAAAGCCUGACGGAGCAACGCCGCGUGAGUGAUGAAGGUCUUCGGAUCGUAAAGCUCUGUUAUUAGGGAAGAACAAAUGUGUAAGUAACUAUGCACGUCUUGACGGUACCUAAUCAGAAAGCCACGGCUAACUACGUG